CAAGCAGUUGGCCUCACAGAGCACUAGGAAGGUCAUUUAAAGUCCCAGCUCACAUGCCAGCUCAGGAGCAGUGCUGUUUCAGAGGCCUUUAUGUCCCCAGGGUUUCCCUGACUUUUCUAGUUUCUUAGAAUCAGUUGUUUGGCAUUCUCUUUUAUUCCAUGAACUAUCCAGUCUCUCUACCCUAAGUCCCUUCUGCUCUGAAGUUUGCUGGGCUGAUGUCCAUCACUCUCAAGAUGAAGAUGUGUCCAGGACUUGGAGCCUAAGCCUUCCAGCACAGCACAUGGCUGCACCAGCCUCAGGACCGGUCAACAGUUUCCAUGACCCUUACUCUGGGUCAAAUACUCCCUUGAGGGCAAAGCUGACUUGUUCAUCUCUCCAACCCAUGCAGUGCUCAACACAGUGGCCUUCACGGAGCUCCAGGCUCAUCAACACAGGCCUCGCCCAAGGUCACUCAGCUGGCACAGGGCGGAGCAGACCCCAGAGUCCACCCUCCUCACGCUGUUCACCACUGGGCUUCCUCUUCCAGUCUUCAACUGCUGAAAAAGGGAGGCUCUUGAGAAGAAAGGACCAUGCAUCUAGGUUUUAAGACAGCCCACUGCCUCCUAUAUUUUGCCUUUGCCUUUAAUAAUUAAAAUUCACACAUCUCAAAAUAUUUUGGGCAAGAGACAAGGCAUGAAAGACAGUAGGGAAUCCUGUUGAAGAACGUGGCUUCUUCAAGGAUCUUCAUGAGUUUGGAUCUGGGCUUAAAUCUUCAUUGUGGACUUACAAUCCUUAUGCUGAGUCUCUUCAUAUGCUUAUUAUUAUGCCAGGGAAAACUACAAAAAGCGCUAAAGCAGUGUCUGACACCGAGUUAACAACAA